AUUGAACGCUGGCGGCAUGCUUUACACAUGCAAGUCGAACGGUAACAGGCCGCAAGGUGCUGACGAGUGGCGAACGGGUGAGUAAUGCAUCGGAACGUGCCCAGUCGCGGGGGAUAACUACUCGAAAGAGUAGCUAAUACCGCAUACGAUCUAUGGAUGAAAGCGGGGGACCGUAAGGCCUCGCGCGAUUGGAGCGGCCGAUGUCAGAUUAGGUAGUUGGUGGGGUAAAGGCUCACCAAGCCAACGAUCUGUAGCUGGUCUGAGAGGACAACCAGCCACACUGGGACUGAGACACGGCCCAGACUCCUACGGGAGGCAGCAGUGGGGAAUUUUGGACAAUGGGCGCAAGCCUGAUCCAGCAAUGCCGCGUGCAGGAAGAAGGCCUUCGGGUUGUAAACUGCUUUUGUACGGAACGAAACGGCUCUGGUUAAUACCCGGGGCUAAUGACGGUACCGUAAGAAUAAGCACCGGCUAACUACGUG
rnacentral:rRNA from 1 species